AACCUGAUGUGUUCAUUGGUUCUGAAAGCCUACAGCUGUGUUUGGCUUUGCAGCCCUAACUGAUAAUAGCGUUUGAAGUCCCUUGUCGUUCUGACUUUCAGGAAAUACAAGUAAUAUUGUUGGAAGGCAGCAGGCACCAGACAUCCAUUUGUGUGGGGGAAAAUGUAUCACAAAAGCGUUUCCUGGUCCAGAAAGUAAACCAUUGAACUUGAUCCGACUGAUUUCCUGCAUGCUUUUUAUUUCACUCUCAAGUAAUGGCUUUGACUGGGCCCCACAACGAUUCCACCUUUCCAUCCGAAUACGACAUCUUCAGAUUCUCUCAGCCAUGCCCUGGGCCCAGACUUGUUCCUAUAUCCACGACGAAGACCAAGGCUGCCCCCUUACAAUUUCUACAAGCAAGCCAAAAGCCAACAACUUUUGGAAAUCUUGCGUGAAUUUUCCCAAGUCAAAAUCUUGAUAAUCCCCAUUCAUUCUGGACGGAAGAAACAUCACAGAGUAAUGCCACCUUCUUGUGACUUUAGUUCGCAGCACUCCCUUUACCAAGUUUUAUGUGUCAUCUAUAUCAAAGUGGAAUUAAAAUCAACAUUGUUUUUCUGCGUUGGUGCAGACUUUCA
rnacentral:lncRNA from 1 species